GUUGAACAUAAACAUAAUAU
rnacentral:miRNA from 1 species